rnacentral:rRNA from 1 species
UGGGGAAUAUUGGACAAUGGGGGCAACCCUGAUCCAGCAAUGCCGCGUGUGUGAAGAAGGCCUGCGGGUUGUAAAGCACUUUCAGUAGAGAAGAAAAGCCUAGGGUUAAUACCCCUGAGUCUUGACGUAACCUACAGAAGAAGCACCGGCUAACUCCGUGCCAGCAGCCGCGGUAAUACGGAGGGCGCUAGCGUUGUUCGGAAUCACUGGGCGUAAAGGGCGCGUAGGCGGCUGCUUAAGUCGGGGGUGAAAGCCCGGGGCUCAACCUCGGAACUGCCUUCGAGACUGGGCGGCUAGAGACCGGAAGAGGAGGGUGGAAUACCCAGUGUAGAGGUGAAAUUCGUAGAUAUUGGGUGGAACACCAGUGGCGAAAGCGGCUCUCUGGUCCGGUUCUGACGCUGAGGCGCGAAAGCGUGGGGAGCAAACAGGAUUAGAUACCCCUGUAGUCC